rnacentral:tRNA from 1 species
GGAGCUGUGGCUCAGUGGCAGAGCACUCACCUCACAUGUGUGAGGCACUGGGUUGGAUCCUCAGCACCA